rnacentral:rRNA from 1 species
GACGAGCGCUGGCGGCGUGCUUAACACAUGCAAGUCGAACGGUGAUGCUCCAGCUUGCUGGAGUGGAUCAGUGGCGAACGGGUGAGUAACACGUGAGCAACCUGCCCCAGACUCUGGAAUAAGCGCUGGAAACGGCGUCUAAUACUGGAUACGAAACUGGCCCGCAUGGGCAUGGUUUGGAAAGUUUUUCGGUUUGGGAUGGGCUCGCGGCCUAUCAGCUUGUUGGUGAGGUAAUGGCUCACCAAGGCGACGACGGGUAGCCGGCCUGAGAGGGCGACCGGCCACACUGGGACUGAGACACGGCCCAGACUCCUACGGGAGGCAGCAGUGGGGAAUAUUGCACAAUGGGCGAAAGCCUGAUGCAGCGACGCCGCGUGAGGGAUGACGGCCUUCGGGUUGUAAACCUCUUUCAGCAGCGAAGAAGCGAAAGUGACGGUACCUGCAGAAGAAGCACCGGCUAACUACGU